rnacentral:rRNA from 1 species
UACGUAGGGGGCAAGCGUUGUCCGGAUUUAUUGGGCGUAAAGAGCGUGUAGGCGGCCAGACAGGUCAGCUGUGAAAACUCGAGGCUCAACCUCGAGACGUCGGUUGAAACCGUCUGGCUAGAGUCCGGAAGAGGAGAGUGGAAUUCCCGGUGUAGCGGUGAAAUGCGCAGAUAUCGGGAAGAACACCCGUGGCGAAGGCGGCUCUCUGGGACGGUACUGACGCUGAGACGCGAAAAGCGUGGGGGAGCGAACAGGG